rnacentral:rRNA from 1 species
AUUAUUAAAGUUCCAACGGUAAAAGAUAAGCCCGCGUAGGAUUAGCUAGUUGGUGAGGUAAAGGCUCACCAAGGCGACGAUCCUUAGCUGGUCUGAGAGGAUGAUCAGCCACACUGGGACUGAGACACGGCCCAGACUCCUACGGGAGGCAGCAGUGGGGGAAUAUUGGACAAUGGGCGAAAGCCUGAUCCAGCAAUGCCGCGUGAGUGAUGAAGGCCUUCGGGUUGUAAAGCUCUUUUACUCGGGACGAUAAUGACGGUACCGAGAGAAUAAGCCCCGGCUAACUCCGUG